CCUACGGGAGGCAGCAGUGGGGAAUCUUCCGCAAUGGACGAAAGUCUGACGGAGCAACGCCGCGUGAGUGAUGAAGGCCUUCGGGUUGUAAAACUCUGUUGUCAGGGACGAAAGCACCGAUCUAUAAUACAUUUUGGUGUUGACGGUACCUGACGAGGAAGCCACGGCUAACUACGUGCCAGCAGCCGCGGUAAUACGUAGGUGGCAAGCGUUGUCCGGAAUUAUUGGGCGUAAAGAGCAUGUAGGCGGGCUUUUAAGUCCGACGUGAAAAUGCGGGGCUUAACCCCGUAUGGCGUUGGAUACUGGAAGUCUUGAGUGCAGGAGAGGAAAGGGGAAUUCCCAGUGUAGCGGUGAAAUGCGUAGAUAUUGGGAGGAACACCAGUGGCGAAGGCGCCUUUCUGGACUGUGUCUGACGCUGAGAUGC
rnacentral:rRNA from 1 species